rnacentral:rRNA from 1 species
UAGUAAUUUUAAGGGCAGGUGGAGGAUGCCUUGGGAUAUUGAGGCGAUGAAGGGCGUGGCGUGACUGCGAUAAGCCUCGGGGAGGUGUCUAGCAACCUUUGAUCCGAGGAUUUCCGAAUGGGGAAACCCAAUGUGGCAAACCCGCAUUACUCCGAUGCAAAUCGGAGAGCGAACCCGCCGAAGUGAAACAUCUCAGUAAGCGGAGGAAAAGAAAAAUAAUUUUCAUUCCCUUAGUAGCGGCGAGCGAAGAGGGAGAAGCUCAAACUCCAUAUUUAUAUGGAGGGUUGUAAGAAGAUUGCUUCAGGGAAACCUGAAAAGAGAAUAAGGAGUUAGAAGAACAGCCCUGGAAAGGGCGGCCAUAGAAGGUAAUAGCCCUGUAUUUUAAAACUUCUUAGACCCUUGCAGUCUCUCUUGAGUAUCUCGGGAAAAGAUAGCCCCGAGAGAAACAGGCCGUACUAAUCGGCCAAAGCUAAAUACUCAAUAUCACCGAUAGCGAACUAGUACCGUGAGGGAAAGGUGAAAAGCAGGGGGGCGACCCCGGUGAAACAGAAUCUGAAACCAUUUUGCCCACAAGGAGUCAGAGCCCCGCUUCGGCGGGGUGAUGGCGUGCCUAUUGAAGAAUGAGCCAACGACUUGUAUUACAUAGCUUGUCUAAGUCCUUACGGGACGGAGACUCAGGGAAACCAAGUGUUAAAAGCGCGAAUUUGCUAUGUGGUACAGACCCGAAGCCAAGCGAGCUUGCCAUGGCCAGGAUGAACUCCGAUGAAAAUUGGAGGGAGGUCCGAACUCGUGAGCUGUGCAAUACUCUGGGAUGAGCUGUGGUAAGUAGUGAAAAGCUAAUCGAGCUUGGUAAUAGCUGGUUCUCUCCGAAAUAGCUUUAGGGCUAGCCUUUGUUUUAUCUCUCCGGAGGUAGAGCACUGAAUGGGAUUUCUUGGGCUUUGCCCGGAUCUCCCAAUCAAACUCCGAAUGCCGGAGAGUUUUGGCAGAGAGUUAGACUGUGGGGGCUAAGCUCCAUGGUCGAAAGGGAAAGAGCCCAGAUCUUAAUCUAAGGUCCCUAAACUAAGUUAAGUGUGCUUAAGGAUGUGAAAUUCCACUGAUAGCUAGGAGGUUAGCUUAGAAGCAGCUAUCCUUUAAAAAGUGCGUAAUAGCUUACUAGCUAAGGAGUCUCGCGCCGAAGAUUUACGGGACUAAACUUAGUACCGAAGAUAAGAUUCUGCAUAUGAUUCGUCAUGUGCAGGAGGUAGGAGAGCAUUCUGUUGGCGCUGAAGCCCCGUUGUGAAGCGGGGUGGAGCCUACAGAAGAGAGAAUGUUGGCAUGAGUAACCACAAGUCCGAUUAAAACUCGGACCACCGAAAACCCGAGGUUUCCUUGGCAAUGACAAUCAUCCAAGGGUUAGGCGGCCCUAAUCCGUUCGCUGAAAAGUGGGCGGAGAUGGACAGCCGGUUAAUAUUCCGGCCCUUCCAUUUAUUCUAAGCAGUGACGCAGUUGCGUAGUUCAGAGGGAUUAUUGGAUUUCCUCACUCCCGUUUCGGCGGGGGGUUCUGAACGAAGCNNNNNNNNNNNNNNNNNNNNNNNNNNNNNNNNNNNNNNNNNNNNNNNNNNNNNNNNNNNNNNNNNNNNNNNNNNNNNNNNNNNNGAACGAGUGAAAGCUCCUGAAGGAACUCGGCAAAUCAGCAGGCGUAACUUCGGAAUAUGCCUUUCCUCCUUCAAAAGGAGGACGCAGCUAAAGAACCCCUAGCGGCUGUUUAUCAAAAACACAGGUCCCUGCUAAACUCGUAAGAGGA